GGGUUGGUGGUAGCGGCUUGGGGAGGUGCUCGCUCUGUCGGUCUCGCUCUCUCGCACGCUUCCCCCGGCUCCCUUCGUUCCCCCACCCCCCCGGUCGCCUGCGUGCCAGAGUGUGUGCGAGGGAGGGGGAGGGCGUCGGGGGGGGUGGGGGGAGGCGUUCCGGUCCCCGAGAGACCCGCGGAGGGAGGCGGAGGCUGUGAGGGACUCCGGGAAGCCAUGGACGUCGAGAGGCUCCAGGAGGCGCUGAAAGAUUUUGAGAAGAGGGGGAAAAAGGAAGUUUGUCCUGUCCUGGAUCAGUUUCUUUGUCAUGUAGCCAAGACUGGAGAAACAAUGAUUCAGUGGUCCCAAUUUAAAGGCUAUUUUAUUUUCAAACUGGAGAAAGUGAUGGAUGAUUUCAGAACUUCAGCUCCUGAGCCAGAGGUCCUCCCAACCCUAAUGUCGAAUAUAUUCCCUUUGAUGAAAUGAAGGAAAGAAUACUGAAAAUUGUCACUGGAUUUAAUGGUAUCCCUUUUACUAUUCAGCGACUAUGUGAAUUGUUAACGGAUCCAAGGAGAAACUAUACAGGAACAGACAAAUUUCUCAGAGGAGUAGAAAAGAAUGUGAUGGUUGUUAGCUGUGUUUAUCCUUCUUCAGAGUCUAAUAUAAAUGGGCCUGGGACACCUAGGCCACUUAAUCGACCAAAGGUUUCUUUGUCAGCCCCCAUGACAACAAAUGGGUUGCCUGAGAGCACAGACAGCAAAGAGACAAAUUUGCAGCAAAAUGAAGAGAAAAAUCACAGAGUCUUUUAUGACAUCAAGAGAAAUGAUCCCAGAAAGAAAAAAUCAAGAAAAAGAAUCUGAUGAUGCCUUAACUGUGAAUGAAGAGACUUCUGAGGAAAAUAAUCAAAUGGAGGAAUCUGAUGUGUCUCAAGCUGAGAAAGAUUUACUACAUUCUGAAGGUGGUGAAAACGAAGGCCCUGUAAGUAGUGGUUCUUCUGACUGCCGUAAAACAGAAGAAUUAGUAGGAUCCAAUUCCAGUAAAACUGGAGAGAUUCUUUCAGAAUCAUCCAUGGAAAAUGAUGAUGAAGCCACAGAAGUCACCGAUGAACCAAUGGAACAAGACUAACUAUUUAGAAACAUUUAGAUGCAGUAUUUUACAUACAGUUUUGGUUUUAACACUGUAUAAAACUUUUAUGUAAUAAAGUGGACCUUUAGUUUUACAAGAGAAGCAGGUUGUAAAAUAAAGUACUUUAUGGAUAAUUCCUGAAAGAGUUGUACAUGUAAGAACUGUGAAUAUCAGCUCCUCUGGGUCCUGCUUACCUUACCGCUGACUUUUCUUUCUUUCUUUUUUUCUUUCUUUUUUUUGGUCUGGGCAAAUCAGUGGUUUGUGUAUAGAUUUUUUUUUUUUAAUUUAGGAUUAAAGUUUUUAAACUGGAAGGUAAUUAUAAUUUUGAAAAGUUUUUUGAGAUUAUCACUUUUAGUUAUACAUAUGCAAGAAGCUUUUUGUCUUGUCUCUUUCUGAUAGCUCUAGCAGUUUUCAUAUUUUGGUCAUAGUUUCAACAUUUUAACAUGUGAAUUAUAGGGUUUCAUGCUGGUUUCCAGAUUUUAUUGUUUGGCUAUGUACUAUGGAACUUUAAGUCAUAUAUACAUACAUAUAUAUAUAUUAUUCUAAGGGGGGAAAUGUUAUAUUUUUCUGUUUCUAUAAGAGAUGAAUACAGUGGAUACUUUUUCUAUUGGUAAUGAUUGAGUUCACCUCUUUCAGAAGACAUUUUCUUUCUCUUCUGAGUAACUGAAAUAAAAUCUGGCCCUUGUGAAACCCUGGAAAUCUUAAGUCUGUUGAAAUACCAGGUUAAACACAUUCCAAGAGAUCUGUUCAAACUCAAAUUCUUUUGUAUACUUCUGAGGUGCCUGAGAAAAAGACUUCAUUAUUUAUGAGAAAAUAUGCUUUAUCUUGGAAAUUGUGUUCAAAUGUUAGCUUACUAUUUUGUAGAAUGAAUGUUUAUGAAGCUGAUAUGAGACCAUCUCAGAAGAACCAAGCAGGUUCCUUGACCUUUUGCUUGCUUUUCUGAACAUUGUGAAUAUUACACGUGUCUUUCUAAAUUAUUCUAGAGUAUGCAAAUGUCAAUGGUAUGAAACACCACUGUACUGGAAGAAUUAAUAUAUUACUUUAGUAUGUACCUGAGCUAAAUGACUGAAGCUUUAGGGGUGCAUAGAAACCACCAUAAUUUGUAUGACAUUUUGGAGUGAAUUACAUAUUUUUGAACAUGCUUCUUCGACAGCCAGUGUUAUAUUUUUCAGAUCAACACAAAGCACAAUGAUUACUCUAAAUUCAAUAUUUUCAAAUUUACAUAUUUAAAGUCAUGCAAACUGCAACUUCCCUGUCAAAAUUACUGGCUGCCAAAUUUAUACCUGUUUCUUCAACUGUACCUUUUGAUAUUUAGAGUUUUUAAAUUUCUGUAAAGUAGAUUUUGUAGAAUGUAAUGUGUUCACUGCCUUUGUGAAGCGGUAUAUAAUUGUAUAAUUUCUGUGUGUAAACUGAAUGCUUGGGCUUUCAAUACAGUAUUCAUAUAAAGCAAUAAAUAUUAAUGUUAUGAAAAAAAAAA